UACGGAGGGCAGCAGUGAGGAAUAUUGGUCAAUGGGCGCGAGCCUGAACCAGCCAAGUCGCGUGAGGGAAGACGGUCCUAUGGAUUGUAAACCUCUUUUGUCGGGGAGCAAGAAAGGGUAUGCAUACCCUACUGAGAGUACCCGAAGAAAAAGCAUCGGCUAACUCCGUGCC
rnacentral:rRNA from 1 species